rnacentral:tRNA from 1 species
AUGUAGCUCAGCCAGGUAGAGCAGAGCUUUCGUAAAGCUAAGGUCGGUGGUUCGAUCCCACCCAU